rnacentral:rRNA from 1 species
UACGUAGGGGGCAAGCGUUGUCCGGAUUUAUUGGGCGUAAAGAGCGUGUAGGCGGCCUUACAGGUCAGCUGUGAAAACUCGAGGCUCAACCUCGAGACGUCGGUUGAAACCGUAUGGCUAGAGUCCGGAAGAGGAGAGUGGAAUUCCCGGUGUAGCGGUGAAAUGCGCAGAUAUCGGGAAGAACACCCGUGGCGAAGGCGGCUCUCUGGGACGGUACUGACGCUGAGGAGCGAAAGCGUGGGGAGCGAACAGG